GCCUGUAGCUCAGUUGGUUAGAGCGCACGCCUGAUAAGCGUGAGGUCGGUGGUUCAAGUCCACUCAGGCC
rnacentral:tRNA from 1 species